rnacentral:rRNA from 1 species
AAUAUCAAAGGUGAGCCAGUACAGGAUGGACCCGCGUCUGAUUAGCUAGUUGGUAAGGUAACGGCUUACCAAGGCGACGAUCAGUAGCCGACCUGAGAGGGUGAUCGGCCACAUUGGAACUGAGACACGGUCCAAACUCCUACGGGAGGCAGCAGUGGGGAAUAUUGCACAAUGGGCGAAAGCCGGAUGCAGCAACGCCGCGUGAGGGAUGAAGGCCUUCGGGUCGUAAAACUCUGUCCUCAAGGAAGAUAAUGACGGUACUUGAGGAGGAAGCCCCGGCUAACUACGUGCCAGCAGCCGCGGUAAUACGUA